rnacentral:rRNA from 1 species
UACGGAGGGUGCGAGCGUUUCUCGGAAUCACUGGGCGUAAAGCGCGUGUAGGCGGUCAGGCAAGUCAGAUGUGAAAGCCCCUGGCUUAACCAGGGAAGUGCAUUUGAAACUGCUUGGCUGGAGUACGGGAGAGGAGAGUGGAAUUCCCGGUGUAGAGGUGAAAUUCGUAGAUAUCGGGAGGAACACCGGUGGCGAAGGCGGCUCUCUGGCCCGAUACUGACGCUGAGACGCGAAAGCGUGGGGAGCAAACAGG